rnacentral:ncRNA from 2 species
CUGGUAGGAGAAGGCUCUGGAAAGUGCCGCCAUAGUGGGUGAUAGCCCCGUAUCCGAAACCUGAGUCUAGUGAAAACGAGUAGGACGGGACACGUGAUAUCCUGUCUGAACAUGGGGGGACCAUCCUCCAAGGCUAAAUACUCCUGACUGACCGAUAGUGAACCAGUACCGUGAGGGAAAGGCGAAAAGAACCCCUGUGAGGGGAGUGAAAUAGAUCCUGAAACCGUAUGCGUACAAGCAGUCGGAGCAGACUUGUUCUGUGACGGCGUACCUUUUGUAUAAUGGGUCAGCGACUUAUGUUCAGUGGCGAGGUUAACCGUAUAGGGGAGCCGUAGGGAAACCGAGUCUGAAUAGGGCGAUUUAGUCGCUGGGCAUAGACCCGAAACCGGGCGAUCUAUCCAUGAGCAGGUUGAAGGUUGAGUAACAUCAACUGGAGGACCGAACCCACUGUCGUUGAAAAGCCAGGGGAUGACUUGUGGAUCGGAGUGAAAGGCUAAUCAAGCCCGGAGAUAGCUGGUUCUCCCCGAAAGCUAUUUAGGUAGCGCCUCGGACGAAUACCACAGGGGGUAGAGCACUGUUUCGGCUAGGGGGUCAUCCCGACUUACCAACCCGAUGCAAACUCCGAAUACCUGUGAGUACUAUCCGGGAGACACACGGCGGGUGCUAACGUCCGUCGUGAAGAGGGAAACAACCCAGACCGCCAGCUAAGGUCCCCAAAUUCCAGUUAAGUGGGAAACGAUGUGGGAAGGCUCAGACAGCUAGGAGGUUGGCUUAGAAGCAGCCAUCCUUUAAAGAAAGCGUAAUAGCUCACUAGUCGAGUCGGCCUGCGCGGAAGAUGUAACGGGGCUCAAACUGGAUACCGAAGCUGCGGCUGCAUACUUUGUAUGCGGGGUAGGGGAGCGUUCUGUAAGCCUGCGAAGGUGAGUUGAGAAGCUUGCUGGAGGUAUCAGAAGUGCGAAUGCUGACAUGAGUAACGACAAUGGGAGUGAAAAACUCCCACGCCGGAAGACCAAGGUUUCCUGCGCAACGCUAAUCGGCGCAGGGUGAGUCGGCCCCUAAGGUGAGACCGAAAGGUGUAAUCGAUGGGAAACGGAUUAAUAUUUCCGUACCUUGGAUAGCUGCGAUGGAGAGACGGAGAAGGCUAGGUGAGCUGGGCGACGGUCGUCCCGGUUUAAGCGUGUAGGGAGUGGGUUUAGGCAAAUCCGGAUCCACAAUUCUGAGACGCGACGACGAGCACCCUUAACGGGAGCGAAGUCAUUGAUGCCAUGCUUCCAGGAAAAUCUUCUAAGCUUCAGGCUAUUUGAGACCGUACCCCAAACCGACACAGGUGGUCAGGUAGAGAAUACCAAGGCGCUUGAGAGAACUCGGGUAAAGGAACUAGGCAAAAUGGUGCCGUAACUUCGGGAGAAGGCACGCCGGUGGUAUGUGACGCCCUUCGCGGGUUGAGCAGAAGCCGGUCGAAGAUACCAGGCCCCUGCGACUGUUUAUUAAAAACACAGCACUGUGCAAACUCGUAAGAGGACGUAUACGGUGUGACGCCUGCCCGGUGCCGGAAGGUUAAUUGAUGGGGUUAGCGCUUGCGCGAAGCUCUUGAUCGAAGCCCCGGUAAACGGCGGCCGUAACUAUAACGGUCCUAAGGUAGCGAAAUUCCUUGUCGGGUAAGUUCCGACCUGCACGAAUGGCGUAACGAUGGGGGCGCUGUCUCUACCCGAGACUCAGUGAAAUUGAAAUCGCCGUGAAGAUGCGGUGUAUCCGCGGCUAGACGGAAAGACCCCGUGAACCUUUACUAUAGCUUCACAGUGAACUUUGAACAUGUUUGUGUAGGAUAGCUGGGAGGCUUUGAAGCGGCGACGCCAGUCGUCGUGGAGCCAACCUUGAAAUACCAGCCUGGCAUGUUUGAGGUUCUAACUCCGUCCCCUUAUCGGGGAUGAGGACAUUGUGUGGUGGGUAGUUUGACUGGGGCGGUCUCCUCCUAAAGCGUAACGGAGGAGCACAAAGGUGGGCUAAGUACGGUCGGACAUCGUACGGUUAGUGUAAUGGCACAAGCCCGCUUAACUGCGAGACAGACACGUCGAGCAGGUACGAAAGUAGGUCAUAGUGAUCCGGUGGUUCUGUAUGGAAGGGCCAUCGCUCAACGGAUAAAAGGUACUCCGGGGAUAACAGGCUGAUACCGCCCAAGAGUUCACAUCGACGGCGGUGUUUGGCACCUCGAUGU